rnacentral:lncRNA from 1 species
AAAACCCUCCAUCGGUUGCCCUUAUCGCCUCUCACACUGCAAUUUCAUUUUUGGCUUCUCCAAUCUAGAUUUCUCUAUAUGAAUGAGUUCCUAUUGGGAAAUAUUUACAUCUAGAACUUUUUGAUUGUAGAAAGGUUGGACAUUUUCUUUUUAAUUUUUUUUAAAAUUCGGUACAUUUAUUUUAGAACUUUUUUCCAUCUGAAAUGUUUGAAUGUUUCUAUUUUUUCGAACGAUCUCCA